ensembl:lncRNA
UUAGCCUCCAAUUAAAAUAAAUUAAUUUAAAAAAAAGAAAUGUAAAGGGCUUCACAUAGUGUCUGAUGUAUACUGACUAUGUAUACUACUAUACUAUUGUUUUGUAUUCAGCAAAAAAAAGAGAAACUGUUCAUUUGCAUAUACAAUAGACAAAAAUAAAGGUUUUAAUCAGAAUGAUAUAUUUUCAUGAUUUAGUAGAUGCAAGAUGAUUCCUAGUAUAUUAAUCAGGAUAUAGACUCCAGUAUUUGUUCAUUCCUUUUGUUUCUUCUGUUGGGUUGGCCAUGAAGUUCAUUCAUGUUUUUCCAUAAGAUGUUGUAUAAAAACCCUGAAUGAACUUUGUGGCCAACCCCGUAUUUUCUGGGCAUGAAAUGAUCUAGAAGUGACUUGAGCCAGUUUUCACCCUUCUGCUUGCUUUUCUAGAAGCACUAUAAUUAGAGAACUUUUCAUCAUUUUUCUAAGCUGUAGGUGUAAUCAAUUACCUUUUAUAUAUCAGAGAAAUUGGAAGAGUGCAAUUAAACAAAGGAAGCAGUAGUAUGUAAGUGCCUUUCCUACUAGAUAAAGAUUUAGAAUUAUAACAUUGUGGAGAAUUAAAAAUAACUGAAAUUAAUGUGUUUAAUAUAGUCUAUAGCAACACAAAGAAGUUAAUAAGGAGAAUAUUGGUAAAUCCUUUCCUAAAUCUACUUUCUAAGAUUAUGGCCCAAGAUUUUGGGGGAACUUUUGUAUGUCUCCCGCAUUGCAGGCUGAUUCUUUACCAGCUGAGCCACAAGGGAAGCCCAGAAUAUUAUUCAACUCAGUGACUUGAUUUGAUUUAUAUUGCAGAAUGUUUCCAGGACAUAGUGUUCUUUUUUGAAGUCAAAUAUAUGUUAGUUACUGGGGAUUCAAAGUUAUUGAAGAGAAAAGCAAAAUGAUAAAUUAGCUCUCAGCUAUUCAUGAUAAUACAACCUCACAAAGAUCUGAGUUGAGAAAUUUACUGAAGGGAUUAUGUUAUGGAUGUUUUUAGAAGUUUGAUUUUCCAUAAUAAAGAUUUCACUGCUAAAUAAACAAACACGACAGUUAUUCUUUUCUAUGAUAAGAGCAAGAUUUGUUAUUUUUGCUGAAUUUAGGUUCUCCUGUCCUCUGUGGCUCCAUUUGUAGUGGUGAUAUUUGCUGCUUAUUUUUAGGUUGGCAUUAAUUAGUAAGAAUUUUUGAAUUUGAUGCCCAAAGCUGUUUCCUAAUUGGUCAGACUGUGCACAUCAGAUCACCCAGGUGUUGUACAAGGUGCUGUUCUCUAAGACAUGAGAGGUGCCGCGUUCUUCCCCUUGGGCCAAAUAACACUGAAUUUUUUUUUUUUUUUAGCCCUUCAGCUCCCUGAAUUUAGUACCACAAAGAACAAAAUUGCACCAGAAUAGUUAACUUUAAAUUAAUCUCUAAAUAUCUAUCCAAAUAUCGAAGUAUCUUUUUAGAUUGUGUGUGUCCAAGAGGUAUGCAAGUUUAUAUCUGCUCCAAGUGUCUGACUGUCUUUAUCUGAUUUUGUAGAAACUGAGUAGGAAUUACAAUACCAUGUGUAUGCUGACAUUAGUUUGCAAGUGGUAGGACACCUAGAGGACAGUGUAUUCACAGAGAUGCAAUGGGAGUUGUGAUGCCUGAUGCCCCUGGUUUCUGCUUGCACCCUUCACAUUGAGGCUAUGGUUUUGAUACCAACCUUAGCCAUAGAGGUUGUUGGGAGUUGCCACUAAACCUCACCUGACUGCUUCUCCAUUUACCCUUGUGCUGUGCUUAGUUACUCAGCAGUGUCCGACUCUUUGUGACACCAUAGACUGCAGACCACCAGGCUCCUUUGUCCAUGGGGAUUCUCCAGGCAAGAGUGCUGGAGUGGGUUGCUAUGCCCUUCUCCAGGGCAUCUUCCUAACCCAGGGAUCGAACCCAGGUCUCAUGCAUUGCAGGCAGAUUCUUUACUGUCUGAGCCACCAGGGAAGUCCCCCUUUACCCUUUUCCCUGCCAUAGGCUGGUUAGUGGUCAUGGAAUAAUCCAUGUUUUAAAAACCCAGCUAAGCUACUGAAUGAAUUUUCUACAGUUUGUUGACAUAGUCAAAGGUUUUAGCAUAGUCAAUAAAGCAGAAAUAGAUGUUUUUCUGGAACUCUCUUGCUUUUUCAAUGAUCCAGUGGAUGUUGGCAAUUUGAUCUCUGGUUCCUCUGUCUUUUCUAAAACCAGCUUGAACAUCUGGAAGUUCAUGGUUCACGUAUAGUUGAAGCCUGGCUUGGAGAGUUUUGAGCAUUACUUUAUUAGUGUAUGAGAUGAGUGCAAUUGUGCGGUAGUUUGAGCAUUCUUUGGCAUUGCCUUUCUUUGGGAUUGGAAUGAAAACUGACCUUUUCCAGUCCUGUGGCCACUGCUGAGUUUUCCACAUUUGCUGGCAUAUUGAGGGCAGCACUUUCACAGCAUCAUCUUUUAGAAUUUGAAAUAGCUCAACUGGAAUUCCAUCACCUCCUCUAGCUUUGUUCAUAGUGAUACUUCCUAAGGCCCACUUGACUUCACAUUCCAG